CUACGGGUUGCUCCAGUGAGGAAUAUUGCACAAUGGGGGGAGCCCUGAUGCAGCAACGCCGCGUGGAGGAUGACGCAUUUCGGUGUGUAAACUCCUUUUAUAUGUCAAGAAAAUGACGGUAGCAUAUGAAUAAGCACCGGCUAACUCCGUGCCAGCAGCCGCGGUAAUACGGAGGGUGCAAGCGUUACUCGGAAUCACUGGGCGUAAAGGACGCGUAGGCGGGUUGGAAAGUCAGGUGUGAAAUCCUACAGCUUAAAUGUAGAACUGCACUUGAAACUUCUAAUCUAGAGUAUGGGAGGGGGAGAUGGAAUUAGUGGUGUAGGGGUAAAAUCCGUAGAUAUCACUAGGAAUACCUAAAGCGAAGGCGAUCUCCUGGAACAUUACUGACGCUAAGGCGUGAAAGCGUGGGGAGCAAACAGGAUUAGAUACCCCCGUAGUC
rnacentral:rRNA from 1 species